rnacentral:rRNA from 1 species
ACGGGAGGCAGCAGUAGGGAAUAUUGCACAAUGGGGGGAACCCUGAUGCAGCGACGCCACGUGUGGGAAGACGCAUUUCGGUGUGUAAACCACUGUCGUGAGGGAAUAAGGCUACUUUCCGGAGUAGUUGAAUGUACCUUGAAAGGAAGCACCGGCAAACUUCGUGCCAGCAGCCGCGGUAAUACGAGGGGUGCAAGCGUUGUUCGGAAUCACUGGGCGUAAAGGGAGCGCAGGCGGAGAUGCAAGCGGACUGUGCAAUACCGGGGCCCAACCCCGGACCUGCAGUCCGGACUGCACCUCUUGGAUAGUUCAGGGGCAAGCGGAAUUCCUGGUGUAGCGGUGGAAUGCGUAGAGAUCAGGAAGAACACCGAUGGCGAAGGCAGCUUGCUGGGGACUUAUCGACGCUCAUGCUCGAAAGUGCGGGUAGCAAACAGGAUUAGAUACCCUGGUA